GCAAUAGUAGCUCAGCUUUAGAGCACCGGUCUUGUAAGCCGGACGUCGGAGGUUAGAAUCCCCCCUACUGCU
rnacentral:tRNA from 1 species